rnacentral:rRNA from 1 species
GACGAACGCUGGCGGCGUGCUUAACACAUGCAAGUCGAACGCUGAAGCUUGGUGCUUGCACUGGGUGGAUGAGUGGCGAACGGGUGAGUAAUACGUGAGUAACCUGCCCUUGACUCUGGGAUAAGCCUGGGAAACUGGGUCUAAUACUGGAUACGACAUGUCACCGCAUGGUGGUGUGUGGAAAGGGUUUUACUGGUUUUGGAUGGGCUCACGGCCUAUUAGCUUGUUGGUGGGGUAAUGGCUCACCAAGGCGACGACGGGUAGCCGGCCUGAGAGGGUGACCGGCCACACUGGGACUGAGACACGGCCCAGACUCCUACGGGAGGCAGCAGUGGGGAAUAUUGCACAAUGGGCGAAAGCCUGAUGCAGCGACGCCGCGUGAGGGAUGACGGCCUUCGGGUUGUAAACCUCUUUCAGCACGGAAGAAGCGAAAGUGACGGUACGUGCAGAAGAAGCGCCGGCUAACUACGUG